rnacentral:rRNA from 1 species
UACAGAGGGGGCGAGCGUUGUUCGGAAUUACUGGGCGUAAAGGGCGCGUAGGCGGCCCGCUAAGUCAGACGUGAAAUCCCCCGGCUCAACCGGGGAACUGCGUCUGGGACUGGUGGGCUCGAAUCCGGGAGAGGGAUGCGGAAUUCCAGGUGUAGCGGUGAAAUGCGUAGAUAUCUGGAGGAACACCGGUGGCGAAGGCGGCAUCCUGGACCGGCAUUGACGCUGAGGCGCGAAAGCCAGGGGAGCAAAC